GCAGCUGGAACAGAGAAAAAGCCUGGUGUUUAGAGCAAAGAAUGGCCAGUUUGAAAAGUUGACGAUUUCACCUUGACAGCUAUCAGGAAAAUAAUCCUCAGACUGGAGCGCUUCCAGAUGUAUAACCCUCCAAGUGCUCUGGAGCUGCACACCCUGACUCCCUCACAGCAGUGAAUCACGAGCAAUGCAUGCACAAACAGCCAAACCAACUGGGCAAAAGGUGGUCUACAGCUUACUGGAUGACCAAAACGGUUCCUCAAUUCAUGUGAGCAAAACCAACCCUCUGUUUAAAUGAAGUACAGGAAACACAAAGCAGCUUAUGACACUGACAAAGACCUUACAGAGAAGGAGCAUAAAAAAAGGUACGAAGUUCACUUUUCAAAACUUGGAGCAGGAUUUUUUUAUGGGGGAGGGGAGGGUGUUGUUUGCAGUUUUUUUAAAAUACAGGAAAGCAGCAUUCUUGCUUAAAAGUGGGAAAUCUUUGAAAUGACAUUGCGUUUGUUGAAUUAAGUAACAAUUAGCUACAAAGAAGAAACAAAACCCCAGAGCUUAGAAAGUUUGAGUCAUUAUCUCCAAGGAGACACAUCUGUAAUGUUGACAAGGUCAGAACAUUUCAGUCAGUUCUUGUGAGUACUGGGAGAUACAAGAUGUUAGCUUCUAUUCCUAUCAAGGCAAUGGCAACUCUGAAAGACUGCAGAUAUCACUUGGAGCCUACACCACUAUGAAUUAUUAGCCUUGAGGCCACAGCCUAGAAAGAUACCACAUCAUAUCCACAGUACAGAUGGAUUUGUGGAUGCCUUGAGGUAAAAUGAAAGGUAUGUUUGUUUUGGACAGGGUGGUAAGGAGGAUCAGGUGCUGCCAGAUAGGGAGGCCUUUCACCACAUCUGGGGCAGAUGGUCCCAAUUAUCUUCUCAUCACUGCUAAUCAGAAGCCAUCCUUCAGCAGCUAUAUAAUAACCUAUGUAAAAACAAACCUGGGAUUGCUCUUUGGCUUCCAGCAAGAGGAGAGCCUGCCUGUCACAAGUCAGUCAGUGAAGGCAGCAUCCUGUCUUGGAGUCUCAUUUACAGGACUGUGGUAUGGAGCUCUGCAGGUGCAAGACAGUGUCUUCACAUCAGGUAAGAAAGCGGAAUACGGGUGAUGCUGACAAGAAAAUUUAGGGGCACACCAGUGGGGAGGAAAAGGCAGCUCCUGCCAGCUUACUCCUCUGCCCUUUCUGACCCUACUGAUGAACAGCAUGUGCUGCCAAAUUAACAGGACCUCUAGCCCCCUGCCUUGGCUACUGCUCUUACCUACAGGGACAAAACUGAUCCAAACUGGAAGCAAGAUACAUUAUUUGGAGACUAUAAAGAGCAUCAAGCUCUUCAUGUUCUCACUUGACUGUUGAAGGUGGCAAGUCAUAAUAUGAUCCAAAGAAUUUAUUGCCUCUUUUCCCUGAGCAACCUAACACCUCAAACAGAAUUGAGAAAGGAUUUGUCCAGCCAGACUUCACUCCAUCAUUAAGUCCCAUACCCUGUGUUAGCAGAAGCAAUGCUAUUUACAUCUCAGAAAAUAAGGUGCUUCUUUGUUACUGCUAUUAUGCUCUUCUCAGGAAGAGAAAAAUACUGCUUAUCUUCAAAUUCAGCUCUCAACUACUCCUUAUUUGCCCACAACACUGCAUCCUAGUUCUUUAAGCUCUACUGUGGUGUUGAAAAGCAAGGGCUACAAAAAACAUGUUGACACAUAAACCAAGAAGAGUGGAAUUAAAAUUAUAAAGCAGCUUGAUGUAAAGAAAAGUCUUGACUGAUCUCCAGAGUUCUGCCUGUCAUUUGUCUCCUUGAAAGUACGUGAAGGGAAUCUGCUUUCCAGGAACAAGAGACUUGAAUUCAUUUAAUACAUUUCUAAGCCUUUAGAGUUACAGUUGUUGAGAAAAGAGAAGAAGAAAACCACUUGAAGUGAUUUAUUUUCUUUUUGAUUAAACAACACAGCCAAGAGAGCCGUGGCACAUGAGCUCAGAGGACAUCAGAGCAGAAUACCCAGGUAGAGCAGUUUGCUUUCUCUUCCUCCAAACACUUUAUUUUACAACCCCAAUGAUUAAUGUCCAUGGAACCAUUACUCCAGGAUGUAAAGGGGGGUGCUGAUACAGCAGAAAACCAUCACAGCUCACCCACAGACUCACCUGCAUGUCCUAUUCCCUCAUCCUCAUGGCUGCACCUGGAAAACACCAGGGGAAUUGCACAGAAACCAGAAGCUUCUCUUCUUGUCAGCAAGACCUCUUCAUUUUUUUCAGCACAGGAGGCACUGAGGUGUCACACUCACUGACAGGAGGAAUGCUUUCCUCUGCUUCCUUCAGCAGCUGCUGCUGAUCAGAGGAUUCCCUACCAAAACACUGCCCUGGCCACACCGCUGUGGUUCCACACACUCAGGCUUACUUCACAAGGUCAUUAUUCAACAGAACAGCAGAGAAAGUCAUGGCAAGAAUUUGCUUUGUUGUUGAAAACUUCUUUUACACUCACAGUCAACCCAAGUCCGCCCUUUGAUUUAAAGAGAACAGCUCCCUUACUUUACAUUCCUGUCUUACUUGCACAAUUUCACACUUGACUACUAAUUUUUCAAACACAGCAAACUCUUGCCAUACCUACCUAUGACUAAGUAUUUUGCACUGGUUCUCAGAAAAGCGCAUAUGAGAAAGUGUAUUUAAAGAAAACGAGCAAAAGACUGAGUAAUAACAGUCAAGCAGCAUUUAGCAGAAAUCAGGGUUAGGCCUGGAUGUUCACAUACCCACUGACCUGCUUGGGUUGGAGGUUAACUCUUGUUAUUAAUCCUAGUGGUUAGAACUACAGGAAGGCAUUUCAAAGGAAUGAUUCAAGUUAAAACAUGUAUUUCAUUAUCAUGCCCAUCUCUGAAACAGUACAGCUGGGCAAGUCAUCCAGGUAUUUAGGCAACACAGAAGGGGUAGCACACAAAAAUAGAAGUAUAAUGACGUGGCAUUUGUUUUCAUUUCAUUCCUUAAGGAUAUUUGAUAGUAACUGAAAAAAAUAAUGGAAUAAGAUUCUGGUUUAUUUCUAUUUGUCUAGUUAAAAUAAUGUAGAACUAAUGAAAAACAAACCCAGAUCUCCCUUUCCAGAGGAGCUGUGGCUGCUCCAUCCCCCAAGGCCAGGCUUGGAUAGGGCUCUGAGAAACCUGGGAUAGCGGAAGGUGCCCCUGCCCGUGGCAAGGGGACUGGAACAAGAUGGGCUUUAAAGUCCCUUCCAGCCCAAGCUAAUAAAAGAAUUUAUGAUUCCUUUAGCACUGAGCAGGUGUCCCUGCCAGCAGAAUGACUGCACUGGUAGCAAAACAGUGGCUCACCAUGCAGCCUGCAUCUGCAGUACAGCCAGAACCCAACAGCCCCUCCAGCUC